rnacentral:tRNA from 1 species
GCAUUGGUGGUUUAGUGGUAGAAUUCUCACCUUCUAUGCAAAAGACUCAAGUCCAAUUCCUAGCCAAUGCA